UGAAGACUGAGCACUUGCCGCAGCUGCUGG
rnacentral:sRNA from 1 species